UGACCGUUGCCCAAGUAGCAUAAUCAAUUGUCUUUUAAUUAAAGGCUUGUAUGAAUGGUUGGAUGAGAUAUAAUCUAUUUUUAUUUUAAUAUAAAUGAAUUUUAAUUUUUAGUAAAAAUGCUAAAAUAAUUAAAUUAGACGAGAAGACCCUAUAAAUCUUUAUUUUAUAUUUAAUUAUAAAAAUUUUUUGUUUAAUAAAUUUAAUUUUUAAGUUAAAAUUUUAUUGGGGUGAUAAUGAAAUUUGAAUAACUUUUAUUUAUUUUUAUAAGUGUAAUUAAAUUUUUGAUCCAUUAUUGAUGUUUAAAAAAUUAAGUUACUUUAGGGAUAACAGCGUAAUUAUUUUUGAAAGUUCUUAUUGAUAAAAUAGAUUGCGACCUCGAUGUUGAAUUAUAGAGUAAAUUUAGGUGUAG
rnacentral:rRNA from 1 species